rnacentral:rRNA from 1 species
UACGGAAGGCAGCAGUGGGGAAUAUUGCACAAUGGGCGAAAGCCUGAUGCAGCUAUGCCGCGUGUAUGAAGAAGGCCUUAGGGUUGUAAAGUACUUUCAUCGGGGAGGAAAAAACAAAACUAAUAAUUUUAUUUCUUGACGUUACCCGAAAAAGAAGCACCGGCUAACUCCGUGCCAGCAGCCGCGGUAAUACGGAGGGUGCUAGCGUUAAUCAGAAUUACUGGGCGUAAAGAGCACGUAGGUGGUUUUUUUAAGUCAGAUGUGAAAUCCCUGGGCUUAACCUAGGAACUGCAUUUUGAAACUGAAAUACUAGAGUAUCGUAGAGGGAGGUAGAAUUCUAGGUGUAGCCGGUGAAAUGCGUAGAUAUCUGGAGGAAUACCUGUGGCGAAAGCGGCCUCCUAAACGAAUACUGACACUGAGGUGCGAAAGCGUGGGGAGCAAACAGGGAUUAGAUACC